rnacentral:sRNA from 1 species
UGCCCGCGCAAAGCGGGUCGAGCCCGAA